rnacentral:rRNA from 1 species
GUGGGGAAUUUUGGACAAUGGGGGCAACCCUGAUCCAGCCAUUCCGCGUGAGUGAAGAAGGCCUUCGGGUUGUAAAGCUCUUUCGGCAGGAACGAAACGGUCUUCUCUAACAUAGGAGGCUAAUGACGGUACCUGAAGAAGAAGCACCGGCUAACUACGUGCCAGCAGCCGCGGUAAUACGUAGGGUGCGAGCGUUAAUCGGAAUUACUGGGCGUAAAGCGUGCGCAGGCGGUUUUGUAAGACAGGUGUGAAAUCCCCGGGCUUAACCUGGGAACUGCGCUUGUGACUGCAAGACUUGAGUGUGGCAGAGGGGGGUGGAAUUCCACGUGUAGCAGUGAAAUGCGUAGAGAUGUGGAGGAACACCGAUGGCGAAGGCAGCCCCCUGGGUCAACACUGACGCUCAUGCACGAAAGCGUGGGGAGCAAACAGGAUUAGAAACCCCAGUAGUCC